CGAUAAGACCCUAUAAAACUUAAUAUGAGUUGAAUAAAAUUUAAAAAUUUUAAUUUAAAUUGGUUUUGAUCUACUGGUAUUUCGUUGGGGAGACGAUGAUAUAAUAGUAACUGUCUUUGUUUAUAUAAUAAUAAUAAUUAGUUUUUGAUCCUUUAUUAGAGAUUUCAAGAUUAAGUUACUUUAGGGAUAACAGCGUGAUUUUCUUUGAGAGUUCUUAUCGACAAGAGUAGUUGCGACCUCGAUGUUGAAUUAAAAUUUCUGGUAUGGUGUAGUCGCCUAUUUAGUGGGUCUGUUCGACCUAUAAUAUUUU
rnacentral:rRNA from 1 species